rnacentral:rRNA from 1 species
UACGUAGGUGGCAAGCGUUGUCCGGAUUUACUGGGCGUAAAGGGCUUGUAGGCGGUUUGUUAAGUCUGGUGUGAAAUCUCCCGGCUCAACCGGGAGGGGUCAUCGGAUACUGGCAGACUAGAGACGGGUAGAGGAAAGCAGAAUUCCCGGUGUAGCGGUGAAAUGCGUAGAUAUCUGGAGGAACACCGGUGGCGAAGGCGGCCCGCUGGGCUCUUGCUGACACUGAUGCGCGACAGCGUGGGGAGCAAACAGG